CUGGGUUCCGUUUCAUGCACCGAACUGUAACACAGGGCCAUCGGACCAGCAAGAUUUUUAAGAUGCGUAGCACGUUUACCAAGACACAGAACACACCCACGUAUUUUCCUUGCCCAGCAUGCUCAGUGCACGAUUCGUAACUUGGAGAUGAAUCGUUCGCAACCUGCGGGAGGAUCUGAGUUCGGAGAAAGCACACCGCGUUCAGCUUGACGGAGUACGUCUGUGACAGCGCGUUUUGUGUGUGUGUGUGUGUGUGUGUGUGUGUGUGUGUGUUUAUGCAUGUGUAGGUGGAUGAAGCUCUUCUAUCUUGGCUCUCAGUCUCACAGUGGCAGUGAAAGAAAUGUACAGCACACUUUUGGGUGUCACCUAAUCAUCCACCAAAGUUCUUCAAAAUAUGUGAUCUUUGCAAAAAUGAUUUCGGCAUGACGGAGCAAAAGGGUCGCUGGGAAUUCUAGUGGAAUGGUUUGGAGUGGUAGCGACGCUUAGAUCAGCCCAGAC
ensembl:lncRNA